rnacentral:tRNA from 1 species
GUUCAGAUUGCCUAGUAGUAAGGCUUUGUAUCGCCAAUCCGAAGACGACGGGUUCGAUUCCCGUUCCAGUCG